UGAGACCACCUCAGCCUGGAUUUCAUUGUC
rnacentral:piRNA from 1 species